UACGUAGGUGGCAAGCGUUGUCCGGAUUUACUGGGCGUAAAGCGCGCGCAGGCGGGCUGGUCAGUCCGGGGUGAAAUCUCACGGCUCAACCGUGAGCGGUCCCCGGAUACUGCCAGUCUUGAGGUGUCUAGAGGAGAGCGGAAUUCCCGGUGUAGUGGUGGAAUGCGUAGAUAUCGGGAAGAACACCAGUGGCGAAAGCGGCUCUCUGGGGACCACCUGACGCUGAGGCGCGAAAGCGUGGGGAGCAAACAGG
rnacentral:rRNA from 1 species